UGUCUCAUAAAUCCCAACAUGGUAUCAGAGCCAUCUUUCUUGGUUCCAUCUAAAACUCGAUUCUCUUUCUGUUUCUGUUUUUUUUUUGUGUUUUGUGUUCUUCACUUAGUCCAAUGACUUUUCACGAGGACAAGGGUGGAGUUCUCUUUCUGAUUUAUUUUCUCUUAUUUGUGAAAGCUUGAAUCUGGUAUUGACUUGUGACCAAAAGAACAAGCUUGACAAAAAGAGAAAUAGAUCUUUAAAAAAAACUGGUGGAAAAAUUGUUUUUAACCAUCAGUGUUUGUUUUUUUCUAAACCAUGAGAAGCACUAAGCAUUGUGUAAUUUUUGUGGUCGUUUUUAUUUAUUAAAAUUCUCAUGGGAAGCUCGUGUAAAUGGGUUUUUCCUUGAGUUCUUGUGUUAAUUGAUGGAGAAAUUAAUUUUCCAAUCAGUUUAUCUUGUUCCAGCCAUUAAAACUCCAUAGUCUUGGGAUUCUUGGUGUUUUUGGCUGGCAUUUGCUUUGGCUUAACUCAAGAAAACAGAGCAAAACUCUGUCCAUAAGAACUCUUGAGCAAAAUUUCUUUUCCCAUUCUCCUUUGCUUCCGCUUAUUCUCUAUUCUCCAUUCUCUCAUUCUCUUUAUUCUCCCCAAUAUUCUCUUUAUUCUCCAUUAUUCUCCUUAUUCUCCAAAUUCUCUUUUAUUCUUCUGCUUAUUCUCUAUACUCUAACAAAUACAAUCUCUUGUUUUAGAAUCUGUCUUCAAAUUUAAACAGGUUCGGGUCUUAAAAAGGAUGGUGUUUGGCUCGUUUGCUAUCUCAAGAAGAAGUGGCGAGUUUGAGAGGUCUGAAUGGGUCAUGUGAGCUGGAAGUCAGCUGGUGGCUGUAUUCAGAUCCAUUAAGGCUUCAAAGAAGCCAAAAGAAGGCGCAGCAACAAGCUUAGAAUUGAUCAAGAGGGCCAUCAAGUUUCAGAGACCAAAAGACAAGCCCAACCUAGUUUAACCUGGCUGACUUGAAGAUGGCAGACCAAAGAGGCUGACCUGAAGAUAGCAGACCCAAGGUGGCUAAGGUGGAAGUUCAAGUGGAGAAACAAGCUGAUGGAAGGCUAUGAAUCAAUUCCAAAGUCUUUGCGAGUGCCUUUGGUUUAAGAGCUGAAGAUCGGAUGUGCACAAGAUGUCAAGAUCUAUUUUGCACAUAAUUUCAAGGCUCAAGACAUGUUUAGUGUGCGGGGGAGCUUAAUUGGUGACCAAACCGCAUUUCAAAGGAAAAAGGAGACCAUAAGAGCCUCAAAGAGACCAAAGAAAGCUUCAAAUGCUGGAGAGCCUCAAAGGAGAUGACAAAGAACGGAUUCAUGCGAAGAGAGUUCAAGGCAAGAAGAGCUAAAGGAAUGGAAACACUUGGGAGAGGAGCCGGUUCAAAAGCAAAUUCAAACCAAGGCCAUAGCUACAUCAAGCAACCGUUAAACUAUACUCUUUUUCCCUUCAUAAAGUUUUAUCCCAAGAGGUUUUCUUUAUGAAGGUUUUUUAAUGAGGCAGUUUGGCGUGUUGCAAGCUUGGCCUCUGGUCCUCUUUGGCGUCUCGACGACCAAGCUUGCGGGGGAGUAUUAGAGUGAAAGAAGGAAAGGAGAGGUGAGGCCGAAGUCAACAAGACAAGGCCGAUCAUCUCCAAGUCAAAGAAGAGGAAGAAGAGGAGUGUCAAGGCAAAUGACAUCAAGACAAGGCCGAAGACAACUCCAAGAUCUCUCAAAGAAGAUAAAAAGAAGACAAGACAAGGCUGAAGAAGCUAUUGAUCAAGUCUAGCCUCGGCCUAAAGAAGAAGAAGAACUGUACGGCCAAGUCAACUCCAAGAGGUGUCCGUACAAGUCUAAGGUUGUGUAAGGCCGAGGCCCAUUAGAUAAGAAGAAGAAGAGGACGCCAAGAAAGCCUAAAGAAUGCAAGGAAUAAGGCCCAUAAGUGACAAGAAGAGGAGGGAAACGAAUUCAAAUUCAAGUCUGCUCUCACAUGUGACUUUAGUCACAUGUGACCGUUUAUGAGCUGUCACUUUCAGCUCUUAACAAGACAAAAACGCUCUCUUUAUGUCACUCUCAGUCUUGGCUCAUGUGUUAGGGCUUCCUCUCUUCCUUUCUCUCUAUAAAUAGAGAUGUAACCGAGCUUGUAAAUGUUACACAGAAUCAAUGAAGUGAUUUCUCUCUUUUA